rnacentral:rRNA from 1 species
GCAGGUUGAAGGUUGAGUAACAUCAACUGGAGGACCGAACCGACUAAUGUUGAAAAAUUAGCGGAUGACUUGUGGCUAGGGGUGAAAGGCCAAUCAAACCUGGAGAUAGCUGGUUCUCCCCGAAAGCUAUUUAGGUAGCGCCUCGGACGAAUACUACUGGGGGUAGAGCACUGUUAAGGCUAGGGGGUCAUCCCGACUUACCAACCCUUUGCAAAC